GCCUCGGUAGCUCAGUCUGGUUAGAGCGGCGCCUUGGUAAGGCGUAGGUCGCGGGUUCAAAUCCCGCCCGAGGCUCCA
rnacentral:tRNA from 1 species